rnacentral:rRNA from 1 species
CCUACGGGAGGCAGCAGUAGGGAAUAUUGCUCAAUGGGGGAAACCCUGAAGCAGCAACGCCGCGUGGAGGAUGAAGGUUUUCUGAUUGUAAACUCCUUUUGUUAGAGAAGAUAAUUACGGUAUCUAACGAAUAAGCCCCGGCUAACUCCGUGCCAGGAGCCGCGGUAAUACGGAGGGUGCAAGCGUUAGUCGGGAUCACUGGGCGGAAAGAGCGCGUAGGCGGGGUAGCAAGGCAGAUGUGAAAUCCUAUGGCUUAACCAUAGAACUGCAUUUGAAACUGUUAUUCUAGAGUAUGGGAGAGGUAGGUGGAAUUCUUGGUGUAGGGGUAAAAUCCGUAGAGAUCAAGAGGAAUACUCAUUGCGAAGGCGACCUGCUAGAACAUAACUGACGCUGAUGCGCGAAAGCGUGGGGAGCAAACAGGAUUAGAUACCCUUGUAGUC